rnacentral:rRNA from 1 species
AUGGAUGGCUACGGGAUUCCCGCUUCUGGCCUGAGACCACCCCGACGUUUCGAUGAUGCAUCCUCUGAAUCGGAAGAAGAGGAGGGGAUCUGUUACCCUGCUGGAGGUGGCAUUGCAGAGUCAGAAUCAGAUGAAGAAGAUCAGAACCAGCGCAAUGGGAAAGCACCUGCAAUCAGCUCGAGGUGCAGUGUUAAGAAGCUGCACGGUUUGCUAGCAUCUCUUGACGAGGAAAUAAGACAAUAUGUCGCCGACAUGGAUUUCGGGGGGCUGCUAGAUCUACCAAACAUAACCAGGACGGAUAGGCAUUUCUUAAUGUCUAUUCUAGGUCAUAUAGACGAGGAAGCAAGUUCUAUCAUGAUCGAUCCCAAGCGCGACGUGCAGUUCUAUGACGAAGAUGUUCAUACUGUCCUUGGCAUACCGUGUGGGGCAGCACGUUGUCGAAGAGCCUGUUGA